UACGGGGGGAGCAAGCGUUGUUCGGAUUUACUGGGCGUAAAGGGCGCGUAGGCGGUCAGCACAAGUCAGUUGUGAAAUCUCCGGGCUUAACUCGGAAAGGUCAACUGAUACUGUGCGACUAGAGUGCGGAAGGGGCAACUGGAAUUCCUGGUGUAGCGGUGGAAUGCGCAGAUAUCAGGAGGAACACCAAUAGCGAAGGCAGCUCGCUGGGACGUUACUGACACUGAGGCGCGAAAGCGUGGGGAGCGAACAGG
rnacentral:rRNA from 1 species